CAUAAGUGUGUGAGAAACUAGAAGAAAGAGAAGCAGAAGGUCCUGCACAAUGAAGUAACACCAAAAGAGGCUGGAUGCUGGACACGUGGAGAGAAAGCAAUCUGCGACAAGAAGGAACAUUGUUGCCUGAUGUUGACUUUGCAAACCGUUCUUCAGGCAUUGCUCCACGUAGGAUUUGGGAUCGGACCCGGAAAGAAGGAUGUCACCAAGGAGCGCGAUGUAGGCAAUGGCCAACCGGAGCGUGUCGAUCUUGGAGAGGCGUUUCUCGUACGGGAAGAAACGUCUCUAAGAAAUCACGAGAGAAAAAUCAGAAACCUGGGAGCAAGAUCAAAUGCCACCCAUGACAACAAACUGGUCUGCAAGAAAAAGUCUCUCCUCAUCUGCAUGGGAACAAAGACAGAAGUAGAUGGGGACAACUAAAGGACUGUGUACUGCUGUACUCCAUGAAAAAUGCAAGGACUGAGUCUUAAAUAGCAAUUUUGGAACCACUCGGGUGAGUUGUUUACUGAGUGUGAUCGGUGAGGACACAGCUCUGCAGUUGAAUCCCGCACCAGCACGCCCUGCCCCAGAGGCUUGGGAAGACCAGCAUCAUGGUCCCCUUCCAGGGACGCUGAGCUGAUGAUGAUCUCACUUUAUUUUUUGGUGUUUCUUCUUUUUAACUGCUAGCAGGUGAUUGCUGGAUCAAAGAAAGAAGCCCGUGGUCUCUCUGUGAAAGAUGAGUGCCUCACAGCAGUAAGGAGGGAGCCCAGGGAAGAGUUGGAUCAGAUGAAUCAUCCUGAGUAAAAGAUGUUUAGUUCCACCAUCUCCCAUCCUUCCCUCCCUGCUCUGAGUCAGUGAUCUGCAGUGACACCGUUUUCUGAGGCUGGUCUGUAGAAAAGCAAGGUCGUGAUUAAUGGAGUGCAUGAGAGAAAGAGGCAGCGGCAAACAAGUGAGCAUCAAAUCAGGAGAGCUGAGAGCUCAUCGCCAGUAGCACGAAUGCAGUCUCUCACCAUUAAAACAUUAACGCGUUUAGAUCAUUGCGGUGGCUGACGGUCAUCUUGGGUACAGUCCCAAGUGUGAGUUCCUGCUCUAUGAAUUCAGCAUUAACAAGAAGCAAGUUUUCAUAGGAUUUAAAGCCAGAAGGGAAUAAUUAAAGUCCUUUAGUCUGAUUGCUGUGAUAACGCACGCCUUUGGUUGUUACCCAGCAGUUUUGGCCCCAUGCCAGGUGGGAUAUUCUUGUUGUAGUUGGAUACUUAUUUUUUAAAAGCAUACAUCCAAUCUUGACUCGAAGUCCCCACGUGACAGACCACCAAAGGAUCUACAAAAGCUGGCAGGACAUUUGCUGAAAGCACGCGUGUGAUUUGCUGGUUAUAGGCUGGUUACCGUGCCUGCGUCUACUGCCGUGGUCGAAAGGGCAGUAAAUGCCCUGAGCAAAAAUGUCAGAUUUGAAGCACGGCUCGGCACUGGGGGACAAAUUAGCAAAUCUUCUGGAGACAGAGAGCGCCGUCACCAGAAACAAAACCACUGGGAAGAGCCAGACCACAGGCAGGAGCAGAGGCACUGCUGAGCUUCACAGCAGGAGUCAUAGGAGCAAGCAAAUGGAGACAGACCAGGGAAACACAGUCCAGUUUUCUUUCCCCAGUGAGGCUCCUAAUUCCCACUGCCUCUUAUCUAGGGACGUGUUUGGGGAAGCUGGAUAGCAAAGUCUCUUUUAAAGCUAACUUUAGCUGCCUGUGAAGGAGGUGUUGACACCUGAAUAAGCUGAAUGGACUCUCUUCACUGAUGCUGGCAGGAAAUUGGAAGCAGGCAAUGAGGAGGAUGAAUUGGCUAUGAAUGGAAGAAGGAGACUUCUACGCCAUCUUCCAAGCUGGCAUACAGGAUUCUAAGCUGAUGCUGUUUUGUUGCUUGAGUUGUGCAAACCUACAAGCAAAUCUAUUUACCGAAGCCUUGGGCAUGGGGGUUUCUGCGAAUGCGUGGUUCCUGCUACAUGCCACGGGCGUCUCCUUUGCUGCCCAGAUAUUCAGGUUGCGUCUCAAACCCAUGAUGAAAGAAGCCCUUACUUUUCAAAUAGUUGCAACCUCGGUAUGAACCAGCUGCAACCCCAGGAGUCCCUAAAUUGCAGGUCGUUGGAAGCUAGGGGAGGAUGCCAGGGAAAUUAUUAUCAUGACCUGUACUGUUUCUACGAGGGUGCAGUGCUGGCUACAUGAAAGCCAAGGGAGUGUUUAUCUCCUGACCAGGCAGCUACUGCCUAGCAGAACUGGUCAACUAGGUAACGACAUUAGCUUAAAAAGCCUUCCUCUCUUUUCCAUCUGAAUGUAUUUGUGGGAGGCUACUUGUCUUUAGAUUCUUUUUUUCCCACUAAAAAGGAAAGAUAACUGAGCUUUUCAUGAAAUCUUCUGCUUCCAGAACUUGACACUCAGAGGAGACUCUCAAGUGCUGUUAGCUCUGCAUGAAUAUUUGAGUCAGUCUUCAAGGAAUGUGUUUGAAAUUUCUAGCUAUAGUGAGGAAGACUUAAAUGGGAAAUCUCUUGAGAAACCAGUGUGCUCUGGGGAGUUCUGCUGCUGCGCAGUUCGAGGCAGCCAGAGGAUUGUGAUGAGAGCAGCUCUUUGCAAACUCUGCCCCCACUGUCAGCUGGAACUGUGAGUUGCACAAGCCACGGACAUGAAUAAUAGCGCACGGGAAGAUGUUGCACAAUACUUUGAGACCUCAAAGGCCAUGCAGUUCAUGCCAUUCAUGGGCAAAGGCUGGGUCCAUUCCUUGUUUUAGCUGGGAAGAUACUUCUAAUUGUGGCUGCAGCAUGAAGACAAAAGCAUGUGGCUGAGAUGUUUGUGGGAGGUAGAUCAUUAAAUGGUGUAGCUGUGGCUGCAGAAUAGAGUGCUGCAGCUCCCAGGGGGUCGGUUGGCAGUGUGCAGUUCCCCUAAAGGGUUUAUCUGUAUGCUAUGUGUGGGCCACAUAACAUUCAGCUGUUACGGAGAACUUCUGAAACACACAACAUUAUUUUAAAGGUGCGGCAUGAGAGUCUCAUUUUCAGGAGGAGAAACCGAGGCACACCAUGGGCAUCAGCUCAGCAGGUCAGCAAAUCUGCUGCGUGGAGGAAGGAUUAAAUCUCACCAGGCUCAGUCUCACAGGAAAUACCAUUGCCCCCACUCCAACAGCUGAGCUCGUUGUGGAUGCCCAGAAGGUCACGUGUCCUAGACCUCCUGCCGUUCCUUUUCCUGGGCUAUAUUUCAGACCAGCAGUUCAUGUAGUCGCGGCAGAGCAAGAUGGUAUGAAGAACAAUCUUAACUCCAGCAACUCUGGGCUCUACGUGAUCCAUCUCACCUUCACUAAGAAAACUUUAUGAUGACUUGGAGUGAUUAAUGUGUUUGGGAGGACUGAGUAAUAAGUCAACAGUCACAAGCUAUAGGACACCUCUUUGUGAAUUAGAGGAAGAUGGCUCAGAGAAAUGACUUUGUAUCCAGUAUUGCAGGUUCUGAGAUGUUUCGUCUCAGAGCUGAAGAAUGUGGGAUGGACGCAGCGCUGGAGGUGACACCGUGUCUUACUCAAGGGAAGACUGAAGAACAAUCUCACCUUUAAAAGUGCGUGGUGAACCCUUUUGGGAUACGGAAGCAUCCUAAACCAUGUGAAAUUUAUGGAGGAUUACAUGAGAAUUGGUGUGCUGCAUGAAAUUCACCUCAGAGGGAAGCUGAUAACGCUGUUCUGUCCUCAGAGUAAUGAAUGUGCUAAACCUCACACCACCAGAAAUCCAAGGAAACAGAACAUCUAUUUUUAAAAAUACAACCACAAACUGCCCCCAGCAUUCACGCAUCAUUAGAAAGCUAAACCACAGCCCAGAAAUCAACCCCUUCAGUCUGAACAUGUGCUCCCAGCGCGGGGAGGGAUGGACCGACACAAAGCCGCUCUGUGAGGAGCAGCCGGGGCACUGCUGAACCGCUGCAGCGUGAAAAACCCGGGGGGUGAACCAGUCCCACCGAGACCAGGAAAGCAUCAUGAGCCACGGCUCCUCCUUUUGGGGCGCAAAGGGUCCUCGCCUGGCACUGACCUUUCCCUCUCGGUGAUGCUUGGGGAUGCUUGGAGAAGCCGCCGGGGGAUACCAAGGGAUCCUGGUUGUCUGCUUUGGCCCAGACCAGCGUUUAGCUGACUCCUUCCCGUGAAAUUCACUUGGACUCCACCGAAUGGGGGACUUGUCCUGAUCUUCUGCUGGCUUCCUCCACCAGGACCAGCCUGGAGCAAGAGGUAAGUAUCACCGUGCCCUUCAAGGAGGAGUGCUGCUCUUCGCUGAAGUUCAGGAUGGAUUAAAUCAGCAGAGAACACACCCUGAAGAUGCUGCCUUGGACUUCAGGGCUCCCAUCCUCGACUGGCCGCCCUGCAGACCUCAUCCAUCUCCAUGAGAAGCAGCCCAACAAGCCCCUCGGUGACCCCCCGGAGCUGGGGAUAGGCAGCCGUGGCGCACCGCUGCAGGAUGAUUCAAGCAGCACCCUCCUCCGCUGCUGCUCCCUCCCACGAAUCACGAUUUCCCCAAAGCCUCCGAGCUGUGAGAGUGGAUGAUCCUCUCGUGCUGCCCGUUCCCCAGCACAGCCUUCCUUGUGCCUCACCCCUGCUCUCCAGGGCCAAGGAGUACCCCAAAACACAUCCUUCUUCGAUAGUCAUGAUGGAUAUCUGAGGUUCAUUCUCCACUCUCACCUGCCUGCAUCUGUCCUUGCUCUAAUUUACGUGGGUUUAAGCUCUGAUGAUGUUUUUCCCCCCUUGAAAAGCAGCAGGGUUGGGCGGCAAAUGGCUGAGGGAGACCAACACGCACGCUAGGAAUGCAGGGUCAGUUUUUGCAGGGUACAGCUUCAACCACUUGGCAAAACCCCUUCCUCCUCUUCUUCUCCUCCCCUCCUCCUCCUCAUCAUCCCUCUUCUGAUUUGAGCAAUGAAAAACAACUUCCUGUCAAUAAACAUGAACAAAAGCUUGGACGCGUCUUCAAAGUGAUGAGUUAUGUCUAAAAUAUGUCUCAGAGCACUUUGAAUGUUCCUGUAAACUGGAGGGAAAUUAUUAUUCAUGGUGCUUUGGCGUUGAAGGAGAGUUUAUAAAUAACCGCCACAGGUCUGCAUGAGUUACUUUUGCCAUGAGAAAAAAUGAAAGGGGACGUGGAGAGAGAGAGAGAGGGAUGAGAAAGGCCUAAAAGGGGGAAAAAAAAAUCGUGUUCAAAAUCUGGGGAAUAGCAUGACUUUUAAAUGUUUAAAAGUAGUUGGUAAAUGUGGAAUCAUCCCCGUGCCAGGCAUGAAGUGGGUCUGACUUUGGGAGAGCAUCGUGUCCCAGAGCAUGGUCAUGCCUGUAGGGGCUGGGCUGUCUGCUGCCAUUGCUGCAUGGGACAUGGAAGAAGAAAGAAAGCAUACGGUUCCCAUUGGUUUCCAAAAGUGAAAACAUGUGCUGGAAUCACAGCCAGACACGCUUCUUGUUAUUUUAAUGAGAAAUUCCAUAAUUAGUGGCAAAAAAAAUAAAAAGAAGCUACGCUGCAAGUGAAAGAAAACCCCUCUUUCUCCUCUCCAGCACAUGAUAGACGCAUCAAAAAGACUUGGUGUCUUUACAAACAUGCGUUAC